rnacentral:rRNA from 1 species
UACAGAGGGGGCAAGCGUUGUUCGGAAUUACUGGGCGUAAAGGGCGCGUAGGCGGCCUGCUAAGUCGAACGUGAAAUCCCCGGGCUCAACCCGGGAACUGCGUCCGAUACUGGUUGGCUUGAAUCCGGGAGAGGGAUGCGGAAUUCCAGGUGUAGCGGUGAAAUGCGUAGAUAUCUGGAGGAACACCGGUGGCGAAGGCGGGUCUCUGGGCCGAUACUGACGCUGAGGAGCGAAAGCGUGGGGAGCGAACAGG